UCGGAAGCUAAAGAAUAAGAUGAGAACCGGUCAAAUCUGGAAAGAAAAUGCCACCAGGUACUAAGAAAUUUUCAUCAAAACAGCUGAAUUAAAGGCAUCUCAUUUUACGGACUUGGGCUAAGGAUGUUCAAUCCCCUGGCUUUCUCCACACAGAUGCACUUGCUAUUAUGAUAGUGGACUUGAGCCUGAUUGUAACUACAAAGAAAAACAUGAAGAGGCUCAUCUGCAUGCUUUUCAUCGGUUGACAAUGUAACAAAUGCAAAGAAUGCAGAGGAUGCGACUGUUGGAAGAACAAAAACUAAACUUACGACGACAUCUCCACUCUAUACAAUGGAGGUCAAAAGGAAAAUGGGGUUUGAUCCAUGGGACUGUGUACUGGGGAGCCUUCCACAAGACUGUUAAACUCCCUUGAAGACAGGGAUCAUGUCUACCAAAACCCCAAAGUACCAAGCUCUCCCACAUGCUUAGUUCAGUUUUUUACCCACAUUAAGCACUCAAUAAAUACUAGAUUGCUUCACGUGUGUAUUUAUAUGUAGAUAUGUAGAUAAAAAUCAAUCAGUGGUGUUUAUUGAGCAUUUACUCAGCUCUAUAUAAAGAGUUGGUCCCCUGCCUGCAAUAUCUAUGUAUAUAUGAAAAUAUAUAUAUUAUUAAAAAAGCAGU